GACAGAGGGUGCGAACGUUGUUCGGAAUUACUGGGCGUAAAGCGCGUGUAGGCGGCAGCGUGUGUCGGGCGUGAAAUCCCAAUGGCUUAACCAUGGAAGUGCACCCGAAACUGCGCAGCUAGAGUCCUGGAGAGGAAGAUGGAAUACUUGGUGUAGAGGUGAAAUUCGUAGAUAUCAGGAGGAACACCGAUGGCGAAGGCAGGUCUCUGGGCAUUAACUGACGCUGAGGAGCGAAAAGCAUGGGGAGCGAACAGG
rnacentral:rRNA from 1 species